ACCUUUUUGGCAGAUCAUUGCAAUAGAAUUAGAAUCUAUCAACCCCUUAUUUUUAUCAUUAAUCUC
rnacentral:tRNA from 1 species